rnacentral:tRNA from 1 species
GAGGGUAUACCUCAAUGGUUAAGAGUACAUGCUUAGCAUGCACGAGGUCCUGGGUUCAAUUCCCAGUAUCUCCA